UAACACGUGGAUAACCUUCCUUCAGGUGGGGAAUAACCCAGUGAAAAUUGGGCUAAUACCGCAUCACAUUACGAGGGCACAUGCUCUUGUACUCAAAGCCGCAAGGCGCCAGAAGAGGGAUCCGCGGCCGAUUAGCUUGUUGGCGAGGUAAUGGCUCACCAAGGCAAUGAUCGGUAUCCGGACUGAGAGGUUGGCCGGACACACUGGAACUGAGACACGGUCCAGACUCCUACGGGAGGCAGCAGUGGGGAAUCUUGCGCAAUGGGCGAAAGCCUGACGCAGCAACGCCGCGUGGGGGAUGAAGCUUCUCGGAGUGUAAACCCCUUUCGACCCGGAAGAAUGUCCGCAAGGACUUGACGGUACGGGUAUAAGAAGCCCCGGCUAACUACGUGCCAGCAGCCGCGGUAAUACGUAGGGGGCCAGCGUUGCUCGGAAUUACUGGGCGUAAAGGGUCCGUAGGCGGUGUGGCAAGUCGGGAGUGAAAUCUCUGGGCUUAACUCAGAGGCUGCUUCCGAAACUGCCGUGCUAGAGUGUGAGAGAGGCGAGUGGAAUUGCGGGUGUAGCGGUGAAAUGCGUAGAUAUCCGCAGGAACAUCCGAGGCGAAAGCGGCUCGCUGGAUCACAACUGACGCUGAGGGACGAAAGCUAGGGGAGCAAACAGGAUUAGAUACCCUGGUAGUCCUAGCCCUAAACCAUCAGGACUUGGGGUUUGCCCUGUACGGGGCAAGUCCCGUAGCUAACGCGUUAAGUCCUGCGCCUGGGGAGUACGGUCGCAAGACUGAAACUCAAAGGAAUUGACGGGGGCCCGCAC
rnacentral:rRNA from 1 species